GACGUAGGGCGCGAGCGUUGUCCGGAUUUAUUGGGCGUAAAGAGCUCGUAGGCGGCUUGUCGCGUCGACUGUGAAAACCCGCGGCUCAACUGCGGGCCUGCAGCCGAUACGGGCAGGCUAGAGUUCGGUAGGGGAGACUGGAAUUCCUGGUGUAGCGGUGAAAUGCGCAGAUAUCAGGAGGAACACCGGUGGCGGAAAGCGGCUCUCUGGAACGG
rnacentral:rRNA from 1 species